GCGUUGUUCCUUAUGUAGAAUCUGUCUAUCAGCGCCUGGGAGAAAUUUUCGCGCCCUUCAGUCAACUAGCUCGCGCGGUCUCCUGGGUAACGGUGAGUUUGGCAACCACUGUAAACAACGCGCCCUGCCACACCGAGGAGAAGAACGAAAAAAAAAAACAGCUAUGGCUUACUGCAACACCGAGUAUUUCGACCAGAUUGGGAAUAUUCAAAAGAGCAUGCACGAACGGGAGAGAUGGAGACAUGAGCUGGAAGGAAAACUGUUUGCCUACUUAAAAUCAGAGGAAAGAUUGACUAAGUUGAAGUGUGCCAAGAUGCGCUGCUAUUACAAGGAGCUGCGUGAGAGAGAGCAGCAAGCAAAGACACGCAACCUUGAGCUUCUUGGGAAUGUGGAGAACUUGGCAUCAAAAAUGAAAGAAUUCUCCAUUGAUUGUAGCAGGCUGCUUCAAAAGAGGUUGGAGUACAAGAAUCAUAUUACCAGAUUGAAGAAAGACGGGAAGAAAAUGGGGAGCAGGGGGGAAUCAGAAGCGGACGAGCUCCCGAGCAGGUUGCAGCUUCCCAGCACACAGGGAUCAUCACAGAGUGCUGUCAUCUUCACAGGUCACCAAACCUCCAACGGCUCAUCAAGAAAUGAUGGCGUCACAACCACACGUUCACCAUCUCAGACAGAGCUGAUACCUAAUCAUCCUUCACUCUCUCCUCUACAAAGUGGCCUUUGUAUGCACUCCCAUCUUUCAAAAGCCAGUGGCACUGCCAUUUCAUCUGAUGACAUUCUAAACUCAGGUGAUUUUCUUGAGGGCAGACAUUUGAGUGACGUGCAUGAAAAGCAGAUGGAGUCUGAUUGGGACGUCUUUCAGAGUACAGGAGAGCAGCAUAGACUAAACUCACCUCACAUGAUCCUGAAAGAAGCCGAAGUGUCCUUUCGAUCUGUGACCGCAAAGGAGCCUGCAGACAUUGUGUCAUUAGAGAGGUGUCCGACCCGCAGUCCUUCCUCAGAUAACACUGAUCCAAGAGAUUCCUCACAAUACAUGAACUCUGGAGGUGAGGAUGAGGAAGAAGAUGACUCUGCACCAAGACAUCAAGAUCUUUCAGAUCACACUAACAGCACGCAUCAAGAGUUGAGAGGAAAUGUUGUAAUUCAAGAACAGCAUGUAAUAUCCUUUCAAACUAAAGGUGGCGCACACAAGCAGGUCAACACACGGGAAUCUGGAAGGCCUGACUUUCUCGAAUCCCCCAACAGGCUCUCCAUGGAAGGAUUUUGUCAUCUUCUGCUCAGCAUUGAGCGACGUCUCAGUGGUAAAGACAUGAACCUCUACAGAAGCACAGUCAAUGAGCAGAAACUCGAUGAUAUCAUCAGUAUAUGUGGUCAGUUAGGGCGUCUGGAUGGUGUGGAGCUGCAUGCCUGUGGUGCUGUGGUUCUGCAGCAGCUGCCCGUGUUGUCCUGCAGUCUGUCUCAUGGAUGCCUGUUACCCAGUGAUCUGAUCAACACUCACUGGUCAUCAGCUACAAAACCAGAACAGAUCAGGUCGUGUCUGUCAGCUGAAAGUGCUCUUCUGUGGGACUGCUGCUUCAGACACUUCUUACAGCUUCAGCAACAGAAAAUCUUCAGCGUUGACCACAUCAUCCAGCUCUUCACUCCACUCCUUGUGCCAAGCAAUGCCACCUAUACUGAGCAGGCAGGGGAGCUGUUGAAGAGGCUUCUGACCCACAAAUCUGAGAACCAUCAGCCGUCAGAAAGUGAACUGUCAUCUUCUUGCAGCUUGCCCUCUCUUCUGGAUGAAAGUGUGGAAAUCAAUCCCACCAGGCCUUCCACAAAAAGUGAGCAAACUGUUGGAACACAAGGAAUUCAAAGUGCUGAAGAGGACAGUGCCGACCAAAGCCCAGUGGAAAGUAUUCCUAUUAGAGGUAAAAAGGCAGAUCGAAGAUUCUUCGUUCGGGAGUUCUUCUGUGCCUGUUUUGUCUUUCUCCUCACGCAGUAGAUAAUGGGGGUCCCUUUUUUUCCCAACUGGAUAGCUGUGAAAGGAUGAUCAAGGUAUGGGUGAAACUGAGAUUCUCAGAGCGCAUAAUGCGGAGGUUUAAUUGUCCGCCGGCCGGGUUGGGGGUGCCGCACAAGAUCUGUCAUUGGUUCUCAUUAUCUGCUAAACAAUGCCAGCCAGAGGCGGACUUGAAAAGACUGGAUGUCAAGGCAUCCUUUGAAAAGCCUCGGGUAGCAAGUCCCAGCGCUAGCUCAGAAAUGUAAAACUAUCCAUUAUUCCACUUGGCUAUCUGAUUUCAAACUGUGCCUUUCAUGCGCAGGGCUAGCCCAAGAGCGCCACAGAGAGAGAAGUCCAGCUUCUCACUGCAACUAAUCAAAGGCAUAAUGGUAGUAGAAAACCGCCUCUGCUGUCCCUGGCUGCUCAUGAGCUGUUUACAGGCGGCUAAUGAAGACUGCGUUGAGUUCUGUUGCCUUUCGUAUUACAUCACUUUGCAAUCAUCAGUGGAAACAGCGUCCGAACGGUGGCCUUCCACCGUCUCCAUGCCACGCACAAUAGUGUUUAAUGUAUAUGGCGAACAAAAAGGAAAUCUUUAGAUGCUCUUUCUACAUGCUACUGAUGCCUAUAUUUUGCAGUCAUUACACCGGAAGAAACAAGCAACAAACAACAUGCCAUACUGCAGAUAUCAGGAUAACGAGAUGCUGGAAAGUAUUAACCACUUUGCAAUUUUUUUUUUUCUGUUUGCUUGCGGCAUUUAUAGCCGUCAUACUUUUGGUUUCCAUGGCUCGUUUUCAAAAAUAUUUUAAGCUUGAAUGCUCGCUGGUUAAAGAUCUCAAUUUCCAAAGUUUAUAGAACAUGAAAGACAGAGUUUUGAAUGGAAUCCAAUAAGAUGUGUGGCAACACAAAAGCCGGCGGGCUCUUUUUUUUUUUUUUUUUUUUUUUUUUUUUUUUUUUCUCGGAGACGGCAGCCUGUCUAUGUGCAUCUGGAUUAGAUCAAUAGUUUAGUGCUCACUCACUCUGUUUUUCACCUCCUCUCUUUGCUCAUCAGUGGCCUUAAAGAGCUGAUGUUGGUUAAUCAAACAUCAGGGCUCUGGAAAGUUGGAAGUCGAGGUCUUUAGUAAAUAUUUGACUAGCUGCUUUCGCAUUUUGUAUUUUUUUUUUUUUUUUUUUUUUUUU